CCUACGGGAGGCAGCAGUGAGGAAUAUUGGUCAAUGGGCGCGAGCCUGAACCAGCCAAGUCGCGUGAGGGAGGACGGCCCUACGGGUUGUAAACCUCUUUUGCCGGGGAGCAACGGGCGUCACGUGUGGCGCCACUGAGAGUACCCGGAGAAAAAGCAUCGGCUAACUCCGUGCCAGCAGCCGCGGUAAUACGGAGGAUGCGAGCGUUAUCCGGAUUAAUUGGGUUAAAAGGGUGCGUAGGCGGACCGUUAAGUCGGUGGUAAAAUUGAGGGGCUCAACCCCUUCCCGCCAGUGAAACUGGCGCUCUUGAGUGGAAGAGAAGUAGGCGGAAUGCGUGGUGUAGCGGUGAAAUGCAUAGAUAUCACGCAGAACCCCGAUUGCGAAGGCAGCAUGCCGGCUUCCGACUGACGCUGAAGCACGAAAGCGUGGGGAUCGAACAGGAUUAGAUACCCUAGUAGUC
rnacentral:rRNA from 1 species